rnacentral:lncRNA from 1 species
GGUGUUGGUAUUCCUUUGAUUAAAAAGUUUAUAUUUACAGGUACAAAAGCAACGUGUUCCUGAGGUCAAAAUUGGAGGAGUAAACCCAAACGAAAACAAAAGGCAGGGUUCAAGCCUCAUCUUUUUCCUGGUAUGAGUGGGCCUCCACUUUGGAUCAACUCAUUAUCCCGAAUAAACGAUGUGUCAUUCCCAUUAUUUAUGUCUCACUGCAGCCAAAGUAUCUGGACCUCGUUUUAGGAGGCGGGCGAGAUCACUUCAUUUUACAAUGGACAAAGAAGGUUCCUUUGUGGAAUUUUGCAUGGCAUGGGGUCCCAAAUAUGCCACCGAUAAAAAGACU